rnacentral:rRNA from 1 species
CCUACGGGAGGCAGCAGUGGGGAAGUUUUGGUACAAUGGGCGGCAAGCCUGAUCCAGCAAUGCCGCGUGAGUGAAGAAGGCCUUCGGGUUGUAAAGCUCUUUUGUUCAGGGAAGAAACGGUGAGGGCUAAUAUCCUUCACUAAUGACGGUACCUGAAGAAUAAGCACCGGCUAACUACGUGCCAGCAGCCGCGGUAAUACGUAGGGUGCAAGCGUUAAUCGGAAUUACUGGGCGUAAAGCGUGCGCAGGCGGUUUUUGUAAGUUUGUCGUGAAAUCCCCGGGCUCAACCUGGGAAUGGCGAUGAAGACUGCAAGGCUAGAAUCUGGCAGAGGGGGGUUAGAAUUCCACGUGUAGCAGUGAAAUGCGUAGAGAUGUGGAGGAACACCGAUGGCGAAGGCAGCCCCCUGGGUCAAGAUUGACGCUCAUGCACGAAAGCGUGGGGAGCAAACAGGAUUAGAUACCCUGGUAGUCCACGCCCUAAACGAUGUCUACUAGUUGUCGGGUUUUUAAUUAACUUGGUAACGCAGCUAACGCGUGAAGUAGACCGCCUUGGGGAGUACGGUCGCAAGAUUAAAACCUUAAGGAAUUGACGGCUGNGAGNGCGACGACGACGACGAGGAGGAGG